GACAACUCUUGCAUCUUCUUUAUUCGACUCGAUUGUGCAAUGUGUUAUCUCAUUGCCUAAUGCCAAAGAGAUUGAUCUGCAGAUGGUUUCAAAAGUCUCGAUAAUCAUGUACGGUAUUCAGACCUUCGCCUACUCGAGAAUGAUCUUGAUCCGUUUCCGUCUAUUGUUGUAUUUGUUUCCUGUAGCAAAAGACCCCUACCAUGUUGACACUACUGGUCCGGCUGUUGUCCAGCAGCUGUCGACCUGGAUGAAUUACUCAUGCACUGCGGAUUAGCAACUUAUCGAAUGUGGCGGCGGGAAACGGGCUUGUUUGAUGAAACAAUUGCUUAAUUUAAGGCUGAACUAUGCACAUUGAUCCUUUCGGCCCCAAGCGGAAUUUGAGAAGUUCUAAGGAUCUUUCUUCUGCUGUUACUUUUGUUGCUAUUACAGACAGAGUACUCGCAGUAUGCUAUAUCUGAUCGGCAUACCGACUAGGGUGUCAGGGGUUUUGAUCCUUCAGGGUUGCAGACGCCACCGACCAACUGACACUUAACAAUUAGUCUAGAGACAUUAGUGCGCAUGACAGAUAAGAUUGAGUGCAACUUGAGUCUUAAGCCAAAUCCCUUUAUUAACACUCUUGUUCAUCACUUUGAUUGUAUCAGUUUGUCAUA
rnacentral:lncRNA from 1 species